GAUCCUGGCUCAGAAUCAACGCUGGCGGCGCGCUUAACACAUGCAAGUCGAACGAGAAAGCCCGCAAGGGUGAGUAAAGUGGCGUACGGGUGAGUAACACGUGGGUAAUCUACCUUUUGGUGGGGAAUAACGCUGGGAAACCGGCGCUAAUACCGCAUAAGCUCGAGAGAGGAAAGGAGCAAUUCGCCGAAAGAGGAGCCCGCGGCUGAUUAGCUAGUUGGUGAGGUAAAGGCUCACCAAGGCAAUGAUCGGUAGCCGGCCUGAGAGGGCACACGGCCACACUGGCACUGAAACACGGGCCAGACUCCUACGGGAGGCAGCAGUGGGGAAUCUUGCACAAUGGGGGAAACCCUGAUGCAGCGACGCCGCGUGAGUGAUGAAGCCCUUCGGGGUGUAAAGCUCUUUCGGCAGGGACGAUAAUGACGGUACCUGAAGAAGAAGCUGCGGCUAACUACGUGCCAGCAGCCGCGGUAAUACGUAGGCAGCGAGCGUUGUUCGGAGUUACUGGGCGUAAAGAGUGCGUAGGCGGUUUUCUAAGUUUGGUGUGAAAUCUCCCGGCUUAACUGGGGGGGUGCGCCGAAGACUGGAAGGCUUGAGUAUGGGAGAGGUAAGCGGAAUUCCUGGUGUAGCGGUGAAAUGCGUAGAUAUCAGGAGGAACACCUGCGGUGUAGACGGCUUACUGGACCAUAA
rnacentral:rRNA from 1 species